rnacentral:rRNA from 1 species
GAUGAACGCUGGCGGCGUGCCUAAUACAUGCAAGUCGAGCGAACGGACGAGAAGCUUGCUUCUCUGAUGUUAGCGGCGGACGGGUGAGUAACACGUGGAUAACCUACCUAUAAGACUGGGAUAACUUCGGGAAACCGGAGCUAAACCGGAUAAUAUUUUGAACCGCAUGGUUCAAAAGUGAAAGACGGUCUUGCUGUCACUUAUAGAUGGAUCCGCGCUGCAUUAGCUAGUUGGUAAGGUAACGGCUUACCAAGGCAACGAUGCAUAGCCGACCUGAGAGGGUGAUCGGCCACACUGGAACUGAGACACGGUCCAGACUCCUACGGGAGGCAGCAGUAGGGAAUCUUCCGCAAUGGGCGAAAGCCUGACGGAGCAACGCCGCGUGAGUGAUGAAGGUCUUCGGAUCGUAAAACUCUGUUAUUAGGGAAGAACAUAUGUGUAAGUAACUGUGCACAUCUUGACGGUACCUAAUCAGAAAGCCACGGCUAACUACGUG